UACAGAGGGGGCAAGCGUUGUUCGGAAUUACUGGGCGUAAAGGGCGCGUAGGCGGCCCGCUAAGUCGAACGUGAAAUCCCCGGGCUUAACCCGGGAACUGCGUCCGAUACUGGCAGGCUUGAAUCCGGGAGAGGGAUGUGGAAUUCCAGGUGUAGCGGUGAAAUGCGUAGAUAUCUGGAGGAAUACCGGUGGCGAAGGCGGCAUCCUGGACCAUUACUGACGCUGAGGCGCGAAAGCUAGGGGAGCAAACGGG
rnacentral:rRNA from 1 species